rnacentral:rRNA from 1 species
UACGUAGGAGGCGAGCGUUGUCCGGAAUCACUGGGUGUAAAGCGCGUGUAGGCGGCCUGCCAAGUCUGCUGUGAAAGCGCCUGGCUUAACCGGGCGAGGUCGGUGGAAACUGGCGGGCUGGAGGACGGUAGAGGGGGGUGGAAUUCCCGGUGUAGUGGUGAAAUGCGUAGAGAUCGGGAGGAACAUCAGUGGCGAAAGCGACUUCCUGGACCAAUACUGACGCUCAUGUGCGAAAGCGUGGGGAGCAAACAGG